rnacentral:rRNA from 1 species
CGCGCAGGCGGGCGGGAAAGUCUCUCGUGAAAGCCCACGGCUCAACCGUGGAAUUGCGGGAGAUACUACUCGUCUUGAGUCCGGGAGAGGAGUGUGGAAUUCCCAGUGUAGCGGUGAAAUGCGUAGAUAUUGGGAGGAACACCGGUGGCGAAGGCGGCACUCUGGACCGGUACUGACGCUGAGGCGCGAAAGCUAGGGGAGCAAACG